UACGAAGGGGGCUAGCGUUGCUCGGAAUGACUGGGCGUAAAGGGCGCGUAGGCGGUUUGGCCAGUCAGAUGUGAAAUUCCUGGGCUCAACCUGGGGGCUGCAUUUGAUACGUUCGGACUAGAGUGGGGAAGAGGGUCGUGGAAUUCCCAGUGUAGAGGUGAAAUUCGUAGAUAUUGGGAAGAACACCGGUGGCGAAGGCGGCGACCUGGUCCUUGACUGACGCUGAGGCGCGAAAGCGUGGGGAGCAAACAGG
rnacentral:rRNA from 1 species